AGUGAACGCUGGCGGCGUGCUUAACACAUGCAAGUCGAACGAGAACGGGUUAUAGCUUGCUAUAAUUGUCAGCUAAGUGGCGCACGGGUGAGUAAUGUAUAGGUAAUAUGCCUCUUACUAAGGGGUAACAAAUGGAAACGUUUGCUAAUACCUUAUGCUCCUUAUUAACAGAAGUUAAUAAGGGAAAGAUUUAUUGGUAAGAGAUUAGCCUGUAUUGUAUCAGUUAGUUGGUGGGGUAAUGGCUUACCAAGACCCUGACACAUAACUGGUUUGAGAGGAUGAUCAGUCACACUGGAACUGAGACACGGUCCAGACUCCUACGGGAGGCAGCAGUGGGGAAUAUUGCACAAUGGACGAAAGUCUGAUGCAGCAACGCCGCGUGGAGGAUGACACAUUUCGGUGCGUAAACUCCUUUUAUAUGAGAAGAUAAUGACGGUAUUAUAUGAAUAAGCACCGGCUAACUCCGUGCCAGCAGCCGCCGUAA
rnacentral:rRNA from 1 species